AAGUGGUCAAUCGGCUCCGUUCCAUUAAGGUUUUUGGAACGCCUCUAAGUCAGAAUCCAACAGGCUUUCAAAAACCUUAGUAAGAUGUGAAAGCUGAAGUGCCCAACUUGUCUGUUUUUGUUAACAACAGUUGGGGAAAAAGUUUCAAUUUUGUGUAACAAACUCUUUACUCAACUUGUUAAUUACUUAAUUGUGAUUGGCAAGUUGCAGUGGUAUCAAGUGAAGUAGCAAUACUGAUCUUGGUCAAAGGAAAAAUGUUACCUGGUUGAUUCUGCCAGUA
rnacentral:misc_RNA from 1 species